AUUGAACGCUGGCGGCAGGCUUAACACAUGCAAGUCGAGCGGAGUUUUGGUGCUUGCACCAAGACUUAGCGGCGGACGGGUGAGUAAUGCUUAGGAAUCUGCCUAUUAGUGGGGGACAACGUUUCGAAAGGAACGCUAAUACCGCAUACGUCCUACGGGAGAAAGCAGGGGAUCUUUGGACCUUGCGCUAAUAGAUGAGCCUAAGUCGGAUUAGCUAGUUGGUGGGGUAAAGGCCUACCAAGGCGACGAUCUGUAGCGGGUCUGAGAGGAUGAUCCGCCACACUGGGACUGAGACACGGCCCAGACUCCUACGGGAGGCAGCAGUGGGGAAUAUUGGACAAUGGGCGGAAGCCUGAUCCAGCCAUGCCGCGUGUGUGAAGAAGGCCUUUUGGUUGUAAAGCACUUUAAGCGAGGAGGAGGAGCUUCAGGUUAAUACCCUGGAUGCUUGGACGUUACUCGCAGAAUAAGCACCGGCUAACUCUGUGCCAGCCGCCGCAGUAACAC
rnacentral:rRNA from 1 species